ACACACUGGGACUGAGACACGNCCCAGACUCCUACGGGAGGCAGCAGUGGGGAANNNNNNGCAAUGGGCGCAAGCCUGACGACGCAACGCCGCGUGGAGGAUGAAGACCUUNGGGUNGUAAACUCCNUUCGAUCGAGACGAACGGCCCUUGGGAUAACACCCCGAGGGAGNNNCGGUACCGAGAGAAGAAGCCCCGGCUAACUCCGUGCCAGCAGCCGCGGUAAUACGGGGGGGGCAAGCGUUGUUCGGAAUUACUGGGCGUAAAGGGCUCGUAGGCGGCCAACUAAGUCAUACGUGAAAUCCCUCGGCUUAACCGGGGAACUGCGUCUGAUACUGGAUGGCUUGAGUUCGGGAGAGGGAUGCGGAAUUCCAGGUGUAGCGGUGAAAUGCGUAGAUAUCUGGAGGAACACCGGUGGCGAAGGCGGCAUCCUGGACCGAAACUGACGCUGAGGAGCGAAAGCCAGGGGAGCAAACGGGAUUAGAUACCCCGGUAGUCCUGGCCCUAAACGAUGAAUGCUUGGUGUGGCGGGUAUCGAUCCCUGCCGUGCCGAAGCUAACGCAUUAAGCAUUCCGCCUGGGGAGUACGGUCGCAAGGCUGAAACUCAAA
rnacentral:rRNA from 1 species